CAGCAGCUAGUCAGCCACCAUUGUUCAGACCUGGCAACCACAACAGCAGCUAGUCAGCCACCAUUGUUCAGCAGCCUCGGUAGCUUGCUAACAAACAUAGCAGAAACAUUGGAGGCCUUUAGACACUAUCUGUGAUUAUUACUCAUUUUGUUUUCAACACACUUUCGUCGUAUCUACCAGUUACCCCAUUUAAUAGCAUAUUUACGUUGUGGUUGUCAGUCAGCUAGCUGGAUGGUUACAUUACCACUAGGCUAGUCGCUAAUGGUAACUAGCUAACGUUAGCUAGAUAACAUCUCCGACUAUGAGCUCCCUAAACUACUCCUUCCCUUCUAAAGAAGAGGAGGUCGGAUGGACGGAGACAGAAACUCCCGUGAAGGAGGAGGAGGCUGUUACAGUAAAACAAGAAGUAGAGGGUGAAGCUGGUACAUUGAAAGAAGAAGAGAAAGAAGCUUUCGGAGUGAAAGAGGAGAAUGAUUAUACCGUGAAAGAAGAGGAGGAAGAAAAACAAGACGAUGCGUUGUUUGGAGUGAAAGAGGAGAAUGAUUAUACCGUGAAAGAAGAGGAGGAAGAGAAACAAGACGAUGCGUUUUUUGGAGUGAAAGAGGAGAAAGAUUUUACCGUGAAAGAAGAGGUUGAAGAGAAACAAGACGAUGGGUUGUUUGGAGUGAAAGAGGAGGCGGCGAUGACAGUGAAGGUAGAGGAAGACGUUUUUAGAGUGAAAGAGGAGGAGAUGACUGUCUCGUUGGAGGAAGAGGAGACUGGAGAUAUCAUUAACACCAGAGAGAGAACAGACUUUCAUUCUGACAGUGGGAAGAGUCCUUCAGAGGAACCAGAGACAUCCAACCCAGCAAGGCGACACUGCUGCUCCCAGUGUGGGAAGAGUUUAACUCAGUUAGGGAACUUGAAAAUACAUGAACGAAUACACACAGGAGAAAAGCCUUACCAAUGCUCCCAUUGUGGGAAGAGUUUUACCCAGUACUUGAGAACUCAUAUGAGAAUACACACAAGAGAGAAACCCUACCAAUGCUCCCAAUGUGGAAAGAGUUUGACCCAGUCAGGACACUUGAAAGAACAUAAGAGAACACACACAGGGGAGAAGCCUUACCAAUGCUCCCAUUGUGGGAAGCGUUUUACCUUGUCAGGACACCUAAAAGUGCAUGAAAGAACACACACAGGUGAGAAGCAUUUAGCAAGACCACACCACUGUUCCCACUGUGGAAAGCAUUUUACUCAGUUAGGGAACUUAAAAAUACAUGAACGAAUACACACAGGAGAAAAGCCUUACCAAUGCUCCCAUUGUGGGAAGAGUUUUACCCAGUCAGGGUACUUGAGAACCCAUACGAGGACACACACAAGAGAGAAACCCUACAAAUGCUCCCAGUGUGGAAAGAGUUUUACCCAGUCAGGACACUUGAAAGAACAUAAGAGAACACACACAGGGGAGAAUCCUUACCAAUGCUCCCAGUGUGGGAAACGUUUUACCCUGUCAAGUCACCUAAAAGUGCAUGAAAGAACACACACAGGGGAGAAGCCUUACAAAUGUGCCCAGUGUGGAAAGAGCUUUACCACAUUAGUUCAAUUGAAAGAACACAAAAGUAAACACACAGGGGAGAAGCCGUUCCACUGCUCUCAGUGUAGAACAAGUUUUACACAAUCUGGAGGCCUAAAAAUACACAUGAGAAUACACACAAAAGAGAAACCCUACCAGUGCUCCCAGUGUGGAAAGCGGUUUGCCCGGUCAGGGCACAUGAAAGAACAUAAGAGAACACACACCGGGGAGAAGCCUUACCAGUGCUCCCAGUGUGGGAAGAGUUUCACCCUGUCGGGGCACUUAAAAGUGCAUGAAAGAACACACACAGGGGAGAAGCCCUACCAAUGCUCUCUGUGUGGAAAAUGUUAUACCACAUCACAGAAUCUUAAAGUACAUGAGAGAAUACACACAAGAUAGAAUCUUUACCACUACUUCCAGUGUGGAAAUUGAUAUUUCACAUCACAUGAAGAGGGAGUGGUUACAAAAUUGAUUGGACAACACCUAGUAAGAAAUACUAUAAAUGUUAAAAAUGUGAAAUACUGUAGAUAUGUUAUUUAAAAAAUGCAACUCAAAGCUAGAAGCAUCAGAGUGCCUAGAAAGGUAGUUCUAACCUUUAAAUAUGACUGGGCAAAGUCAUUAGUACUACCCUUAAAUAUGACUGGGCAAAGUCAUUAGUUAUACCCUUAAAUAUGACUGGGCAAAGUCAUUAGUUCUACCCUUAAAUAUGACUGGGCAAAGUCAUUAGUUCUACCCUUAUAUAUGACUGGGCAAAGUCAUAUUUAAGGUUUGAUCUACCUUUCCAGGCACUCUGAUGCUUCUAGCUUUGAGUUGAUUUAAAAAAUAAAUAACAUAUCUACAGUAUUUCACUUUUUAACGUGUAUAGUAUUUCUUACUAAAUGUUGUCCAAUCAAUUGUGUAACCACUCCCUCUUCUAAUUAGGGCCGAUUGGAAAAAGCUGUUCAAAAGAGGACAGCGUAUUAACAUUUCUCUGUACUCCCUGACGAAAGCCGUGCAGCCGAAACGUGUGAAAUAUUUUUUUAAACUUUGUUUCCAAUUGAACAUGCCAUACAAAUAAAGCCAUUUUAAUUAAUUA